rnacentral:tRNA from 1 species
GCGGCUAUGGCGGAAUCGGCAGACGCGCAUGCUUCAGGUGCAUGUGGGAGAAAUCUCGUGGAAGUUCAAGUCUUCUUAGCCGCACCA